AUAUUUAUCAAGCAGAAAAGAUAGCCAUGAUCAUGAAUGCAGCUUCCCUGAGGCAAGGCUUACCUAACACUGUAGUCUGGAUGUGAAUUCCUGAAAUGUGGGAAACUUGACUCUAUAACUCAUGAUAGUGGGGUAUGACACCUAUGUACUCCCCUG
rnacentral:snRNA from 1 species